CCCUUAGAUGUUCUGGGCCGCACGCGUGCUACACUGAGUGGAUCAGCGUGUUUUCCCUUCCCGAGAGGGACGGGUAACCCGCUGAACCCCCUUCGUGGUAGGGAUCGGAGCUUGCAAUUGUUCUCCGUGAACCAGGAAUUCCCAGUAAGCGCAAGUCAUAAGCUUGCGUUGAUUACGUCCCUGCCCUUUGUACACACCGCCCGUCGCUACUACCGAUUGAACGUUUUAGUGAGGUAUUUGGACUGGGCCUUGGGAGGUUUCGGCCUCCCUUGUUGCUCGGAAAGACUCCCAAACUUGAGCGUUUAGAGGAAGUAAAAGUCGUAACA
rnacentral:rRNA from 1 species